rnacentral:lncRNA from 1 species
GUCUGUUUACAAGCGAUAUAUAUGCAUCGAGCUAUAUACAUGUGAUGAAGGAAUCCCGAGGAUAUGUAUUUUGCAACAAUUGACAUGCUUGGGCAGUGACAAAUAUUUGAAAUAUAUACUUUGGUGGCCUUCGGCUGUUGUCUGCUCUAUGGUCGGGUUGUUGUCGCUUUGACACAUUCCCUUUUUCCAUUCUCAAUUGUAUUUCAAGUUAAAAGAUUAUGCCGGAUGAAAUACAGUUUGUUUGUCAAAAAUAUAUUAAGCAGCAUGUUAUCAGUCUAUUUUUUUUUAAAUAAAAAGUAAAACAUCAAAGACAGCUUUUAAAAAAAAAAGUAGCAAAUCUUUAACGUUGUGUACAGAAGUGGGUUAAAAAAAUAGAAAAGCGACGUCGAGUAACGUUACCAUUACUAAACCGAAC